GAAGAAAGUGAAAGUUGACUUACAACAAUGGCUUUAGUGGCGGACUGGUGAGUAACACGUAAGCAACCUGCCUAUCAGAGAGGAACAACAGUUAGAAAUGACUGCUAAUACCGCAUAUGCCUUAGCAACACAUGUUGCAAAAGGGAAAGGAGCAAUCCGCUGAUAGAUGGGCUUGCGUCUGAUUAGAUAGUUGGUGGGGUAACGGCCUACCAAGUCGACGAUCAGUAGCCGGACUGAGAGGUUGAACGGCCACAUUGGGACUGAGAUACGGCCCAGACUCCUACGGGAGGCAGCAGUCGGGAAUAUUGCGCAAUGGAGGAAACUCUGACGCAGUGACGCCGCGUGCAGGAAGAAGGUUUUCGGAUUGUAAACUGCUUUAGACAGGGAAGAACAAAGACAGUACCUGUAGAAUAAGCUCCGGCUAACUACGUGCCAGCAGCCGCGGUAAUACGUAGGGAGCAAGCGUUAUCCGGAUUUAUUGGGUGUAAAGGGUGCGUAGACGGUAAUGCAAGUUAGUUGUGAAAUCCCUCGGCUUAACUGAGGAACUGCAACUAAAACUACAUUUCUUGAGUAUUGGAGGGGAAAGUGGAAUUCCUAGUGUAGCGG
rnacentral:rRNA from 1 species